GCCUAACACAUGCAAGUCGAGCGGUAGAGAGGAGCUUGCUCCUCUUGAGAGCGGCGGACGGGUGAGUAAUGCCUAGGAAUCUGCCUGGUAGUGGGGGAUAACGUUCGGAAACGGACGCUAAUACCGCAUACGUCCUACGGGAGAAAGCAGGGGACCUUCGGGCCUUGCGCUAUCAGAUGAGCCUAGGUCGGAUUAGCUAGUUGGUGAGGUAAUGGCUCACCAAGGCGACGAUCCGUAACUGGUCUGAGAGGAUGAUCAGUCACACUGGAACUGAGACACGGUCCAGACUCCUACGGGAGGCAGCAGUGGGGAAUAUUGGACAAUGGGCGAAAGCCUGAUCCAGCCAUGCCGCGUGUGUGAAGAAGGUCUUCGGAUUGUAAAGCACUUUAAGUUGGGAGGAAGGGCAGUAAAUUAAUACUUUGCUGUUUUGACGUUACCGACAGAAUAAGCACCG
rnacentral:rRNA from 1 species